rnacentral:rRNA from 1 species
GAAAGCUUGCUUUCUUGCUGACGAGUGGCGGACGGGUGAGUAAUGCUUGGGAAUCUGGCUUAUGGAGGGGGAUAACGACGGGAAACUGUCGCUAAUACCGCGUAGUGUCGAGAGACGAAAGUGCGGGACUGAGAGGCCGCAUGCCAUAGGAUGAGCCCAAGUGGGAUUAGGUAGUUGGUGGGGUAAAGGCCUACCAAGCCUGCGAUCUCUAGCUGGUCUGAGAGGAUGACCAGCCACACUGGAACUGAGACACGGUCCAGACUCCUACGGGAGGCAGCAGUGGGGAAUAUUGCGCAAUGGGGGGAACCCUGACGCAGCCAUGCCGCGUGAAUGAAGAAGGCCUUCGGGUUGUAAAGUUCUUUCGGUAUUGAGGAAGGUUGAUGUGUUAAUAGCACAUCAAAUUGACGUUAAAUACAGAAGAAGCACCGGCUAACUCCGUGCCAGCAGCCGCGGUAAUACGGAGGGUGCGAGCGUUAAUCGGAAUAACUGGGCGUAAAGGGCACGCAGGCGGUUAUUUAAGUGAGGUGUGAAAGCCCUGGGCUUAACCUAGGAAUUGCAUUUCAGACUGGGUAACUAGAGUACUUUAGGGAGGGGUAGAAUUCCACGUGUAGCGGUGAAAUGCGUAGAGAUGUGGAGGAAUACCGAAGGCGAAGGCAGCCCCUUGGGAAUGUACUGACGCUCAUGUGCGAAAGCGUGGGGAGCAAACAGGAUUAGAUACCCUGGUAGUCCACGCUGUAAACGCUGUCGAUUUGGGGGUUGGGGUUUAACUCUGG